rnacentral:rRNA from 1 species
GACGAACGCUGGCGGCGUGCCUAAUACAUGCAAGUCGAACGCAGUGGGGACGGGUGAGUAAACCGUGGGUAACCUCCCAUCAGAGGGGAUAACCCUUGGAAACAGGUGCUAAACAGCUACUGACGGAUGGACACGCGGUGCAUUAGCUAGUUGGCGAGGUAACGGCGCACCACGGCCACGAUGCAUAGCCGACAUGAGAGGGUGGUCGGCCACACUGGGACUGAGACACGGCCCAGACUCCUACGGGAGGCAGCAGUAGGGAAGCUUCGGAAAUGGGCGAAAGUCUGACCUAGCAACGCCGCGUGAGUGAAGAAGGUUUUCGGAUCGUAAAACUCUGUUGUUAGAGAAGCGGUAUCUAACCAGAAAGCCACGGCUAACUACGUGCCAGCAGCCGCGGUAAUAC